CCCUUAGAGUUUGAUCCUGGCUCAGGACGAACGCUGGCGGCGUGCUUAACACAUGCAAGUCGAACGAAGCAUUUAAGACGGAUUCUUUCGGGAUGAAGACUUUUAUGACUGAGUGGCGGACGGGUGAGUAACGCGUGGGUAACCUGCCUCACACAGGGGGAUAGCAGUUGGAAACGGCUGAUAAUACCGCAUAAGCGCACAGUACCGCAUGGUACAGUGUGAAAAACUCCGGUGGUGUGAGAUGGACCCGCGUCUGAUUAGCUUGUUGGCAGGGUAACGGCCUACCAAGGCAACGAUCAGUAGCCGACCUGAGAGGGUGACCGGCCACAUUGGGACUGAGACACGGCCCAAACUCCUACGGGAGGCAGCAGUGGGGAAUAUUGCACAAUGGGGGAAACCCUGAUGCAGCGACGCCGCGUGAGCGAAGAAGUAUUUCGGUAUGUAAAGCUCUAUCAGCAGGGAAGAAAAUGACGGUACCUGACUAAGAAGCACCGGCUAAUC
rnacentral:rRNA from 1 species